GCUGACUUACAAGAUUGUAUGGAUAUACUACAUCUAUAAUGCAAUUGGAUGGAAUCUGCCAUGUAUUAAAUUACCAUACUUGUUUCCAAUCUAUACCAUAUGGAUGUCAGGAACAUUGUAUGUCACGAUAUCACAUACCUCUAUGUACAGUAACCUGUUUUACAUCAAUAUUGGACAAUAAUGAUGACCAACAAUGGACACU